rnacentral:rRNA from 1 species
UACGGGGGGAGCAAGCGUUGUUCGGAAUUACUGGGCGUAAAGGGUUAGUAGGUGGCCAACUAAGUCAGACGUGAAAUCCCUCAGCUUAACUGGGGAACUGCGUCUGAGACUGAUUGGCUCGAGGACAGGAGAGGAACGCGGAAUUCCAGGUGUAGCGGUGAAAUGCGCAGAUAUCAGGAAGAACACCUAUGGCGAAGGCAGCUCUCUGGGACGGUACUGACGCUGAGACGCGAAAGCGUGGGGAGCGAACAGG